UACGAGUGGUGCAAGCGUUAUUCGGAAUCAUUGGGCGUAAAGGGUGUGUAGACGGUAUAUCAAGUCAACUGUUUAAUUCUCCGGCCUAACCGGAGGUCAGCGGUAGAAACUAAUAUGCUAGAGGGUGGAAGAGAGAAGUGGAAUUCUCGGAGUAGCGGUAAAAUGCGUAGAUCUCGAGAGGAACACCAAUGGCGAAAGCAGCUUCUUGGUCCAUCCCUGACGUUGAAACACGAAAGCGUGGGGAGCAAACAGG
rnacentral:rRNA from 1 species